AUUGAACGCUGGCGGCAGGCCUAACACAUGCAAGUCGAACGGUAACAGGAAGCAGCUUGCUGCUUUGCUGACGAGUGGCGGACGGGUGAGUAAUGUCUGGGAAACUGCCUGAUGGAGGGGGAUAACUACUGGAAACGGUAGCUAAUACCGCAUAACGUCGCAAGACCAAAGAGGGGGACCUUCGGGCCUCUUGCCAUCGGAUGUGCCCAGAUGGGAUUAGCUAGUAGGUGGGGUAACGGCUCACCUAGGCGACGAUCCCUAGCUGGUCUGAGAGGAGGACCAGCCACACUGGAACUGAGACACGGUCCAGACUCCUACGGGAGGCAGCAGUGGGGAAUAUUGCACAAUGGGCGCAAGCCUGAUGCAGCCAUGCCGCGUGUAUGAAGAAGGCCUUCGGGUUGUAAAGUACUUUCAGCGGGGAGGAAGGGAGUAAAGUUAAUACCUUUGCUCAUUGACGUUACCCGCAGAAGAAGCACCGGCUAACUCCGU
rnacentral:rRNA from 1 species